GCUAUACCACUACUAUUUCAUUUAUUUUAGCCAAUCAGAGCGCUCUAUUUCUCACCCACUCUCACCAAACGCGCGUUGCGCGAGUGUCUACGAUUCCUGUGUGCUUAUAACCCCCAAAAUCGCUUCUGGUGAAACAAACUCGCUGAUUUCUUAAAAACCCAUCGCGUGUCACUUCAUUUUUUCUUUUUCUUUUUCUUUUCUUUUUUUUUCCCCCUCAAACCUUAUUAAUUAUAAUUUAAACUGAGCAUAAAUCAAUUGUAACUCCAAAACCAUGUAAACCGAACCGAAAUUGUUUGCAAGUGUACCCAAAUUCUAAAGAUUUUUAGUGUAUGCUGCUAUGGUGUUCGACAGAAUGCCGCUGAGAGAUUUUGUUUCCUGGAAAAUGAUAAAAUUCUAGAGAUGUUUGUUACAGAGGAAAGGUGGGAAUCUCAUGGAGCUUCCGUGUGGUUUAACAAAGUAUGGUGGUUGGGAAGGCACAAGCUGCUCACUCGGAGAAGGACCCAAAGAUAUCAAUGUUCAAGGAAGGAGAUGAAGGUUUCACAGUUUAAGGGUUUGAAAGCAGUGGAAGGAGAAGAGCCCCCAACUUGAAUUCAAGGCUUAAGGGUCAUUGGAGUCAUAAGCUUGUGAUUAAAGGUAAUUGAUGUAAAGAAGAGGGUGAAGAACAGAGCAAGCUCAAGUUCUCAACUUAAGCAGUAACCAAAGGCUUGAAAAUGUAUGUCAAAACUCAUCAAAGAUGGCAGUAGUGGGUAUUGCAAGCAUAGCAACGACAUUUGGAGAAUCGACUAUCCUCGAUACGAAUAAGAGGUUCUCGGAGAAACUGCAGAGAUUAGUACCUGUUCUUUUGAGUAACCAAAUUUGAAGAAAUACUCUAUACCGUUGAGAACUGGUCUUUUGAAAGCUGUUGACACUCGAGCCAGGCAGCUGAUGAUAGUCACAUCAUCUGGUAACCACGGCGACGGAGACGCCUCAUCCUCCUUCCUCAUCUUAUCUUCUUCAACAUUUGACAUCUGACUUGAGAAACUGUACAGAAGCAGAGGAAUCUCUCUGUUUUUUUUUUCUUUU